rnacentral:pre_miRNA from 1 species
GUAGUACUCCCUCCGUUCGGAAUUACUUAUCACAAAAAUGGAUGUAUCUACAACUAAAAUACAUCUAGAUACAUUCAUUUCUUGGACGAGUAAUUCCGAACGGAGGGAGUAUGUA